UACGGAGGGUGCAAGCGUUACUCGGAAUUACUGGGCGUAAAGGGUGCGUAGGUGGUUGAUUAAGUUAUCUGUGAAAUCCCUGGGCUUAACCUGGGCAGGUCAGAUGAUACUGAUUGACUCGAGUAUGGGAGAGGGUAGUGGAAUUUCCGGUGUAGCGGUGAAAUGCGUAGAGAUCGGAAGGAACACCAGUGGCGAAGGCGGCUACCUGGCCUAAUACUGACACUGAGGCACGAAAGCGUGGGGAGCAAACAGG
rnacentral:rRNA from 1 species